rnacentral:misc_RNA from 1 species
GAUGAAGAACGUAGCGAAAUGCGAUAAGUAAUGUGAAUUGCAGAAUUCAGUGAAUCAUCGAACCUUUGAACGCACAUUGCGCCCCUUGGUAUUCCGGGGGGCAUGCCUGUUCGAGCGUCAUUAUAACCCCUCAAGCUCAGCUUGGUGUUGGGGCCUGCCGACUGGCAGCCCUUAAAAUCAGUGGCGGCGCCAUCUGGCUCUAAGCGUAGUAAUUUCUCUCGCUAUAGAGUCCCGGUGGAUGCUUGCCAGCAACCCCCAACUUUCUAUGGUUGACCUCGGAUCAGGUAGGGAUACCCGCUGAACUUAAGCAUAUCAAUAAGCGGAGGA